UUACACAUGCAAGUCGAACGGCAGCACGGGAGCAAUCNGGUGGCGAGUGGCGAACGGGUGAGUAAUGUAUCGGAACGUACCUUUCAGUGGGGGAUAACGUAGCGAAAGUUACGCUAAUACCGCAUAUUCUGUGAGCAGGAAAGCAGGGGAUCGCGAGACCUUGCGCUGAUUGAGCGGCCGAUAUCAGAUUAGCUAGUUGGUGAGGUAAAGGCUCACCAAGGCGACGAUCUGUAGCGGGUCUGAGAGGAUGAUCCGCCACACUGGAACUGAGACACGGUCCAGACUCCUACGGGAGGCAGCAGUGGGGAAUUUUGGACAAUGGGGGCAACCCUGAUCCAGCCAUGCCGCGUGAGUGAAGAAGGCCUUCGGGUUGUAAAGCUCUUUCAGCCGGGAAGAAAUCACAUGGGUUAAUACCCUGUGUGGAUGACGGUACCGGAAUAAGAAGCACCGGCUAACUACGUGCCAGCAGCCGCGGUAAUACGUAGGGUGCGAGCGUUAAUCGGAAUUACUGGGCGUAAAGCGUGCGCAGGCGGUUUGUUAAGAUAGGCGUGAAAUCCCCGGGCUCAACCUGGGAACUGCGUUUAUGACUGGCAGGCUAGGGUAUGGCAGAGGGGGGUGGAAUUCCACGUGUAGCAGUGAAAUGCGUAGAGAUGUGGAGGAACACCGAUGGCGAAGGCAGCCCCCUGGGCCAAUACUGACGCUCAUGCACGAAAGCGUGGGUAGCAAACAGGAUUAGAUACCCUGGUAGUCCACGCCCUAAACGAUGUCAACUAGGUGUUGGGUGGGUAAAACCAUUUAGUACCGGAGCUAACGCGUGAAGU
rnacentral:rRNA from 1 species